rnacentral:rRNA from 1 species
GACGAACCGUGCGAACGUUGUUCGGAUUCACUGGGCGUAAAGGGCGCGUAGGCGGUCUACCAAGUCUGGGGUGAAAUCUUUCGGCUCAACCGGAAAAGUGCCCCCGAUACUGGCCGGCUAGAGGGAGAUAGGGGCAUGCGGAACUUCCGGUGGAGCGGUGAAAUGCGUAGAUAUCGGAAGGAACGCCGGUGGCGAAAGCGGCGUGCUGGAUCUCUUCUGACGCUGAGGCGCGAAAGCCAGGGGAGCAAACGGG